rnacentral:rRNA from 1 species
AACGAACGCUGGCGGCAUGCCUAAUACAUGCAAGUCGAACGAGUGGCGGACGGGUGAGUAAUGUAUGGGAAACUGCCUGAUGGAGGGGGAUAACUACUGGAAACGGUAGCUAAUACCGCAUACCAUCAGAUGUACCCAGAUGGGAUUAGCUUGUUGGUGGGGUAAAGGCUCACCAAGGCGACGAUCUCUAGCUGGUCUGAGAGGAUGAUCAGCCACACGGGAACUGAGACACGGUCCAGACUCCUACGGGAGGCAGCAGUGGGGAAUAUUGCACAAUGGGCGCAAGCCUGAUGCAGCCAUGCCGCGUGUAUGAAGAAGGCCGUAGGGUUGUAAAGUACUUUCAGCGGGGAGGCGUUACCCGCAGAAGAAGCACCGGCUAACUCCGUGCCAGCAGCCGCGGUAAUAC